rnacentral:rRNA from 1 species
AUUGAACGCUGGCGGCAUGCUUUACACAUGCAAGUCGAGCGGCAGCGCGGGGGCAACCCUGGCGGCGAGCGGCGAACGGGUGAGUAAUGCAUCGGAACGUAUCCUCGAGUGGGGGAUAACCCAGCGAAAGUUGGGCUAAUACCGCAUGAGCUCUGAGGAGGAAAGCGGGGGACCUGCGAGGGCCUCGCGCUGGAGGAGCGGCCGAUGUCCGAUUAGCUAGUUGGUGGGGUAAAGGCUUACCAAGGCGACGAUCGGUAGCUGGUCUGAGAGGAUGAUCAGCGACACUGGGACUGAGACACGGCCCAGACUCCUACGGGAGGCAGCAGUGGGGAAUUUUGGACAAUGGGGGCAACCCUGAUCCAGCCAUGCCGCGUGAGUGAAGAAGGCCUUCGGGUUGUAAAGCUCUUUCGGACGGAACGAAAUGGGCGGGACUAAUACUCCUGUCUGAUGACGGUACCGUAAGAAGAAGCACCGGCUAACUACGUG